rnacentral:rRNA from 1 species
GUGCCAGCCGCCGCGGUAAUACCGGCAGCUCAAGUGAUGUCCCAUAUUAUUGGGCCUAAAGCGUCCGUAGCUGGCUGCGCAAGUCCGUCGGGAAAUCCACCCGCCCAACGGGUGGGCGUCCGGUGGAAACUGUGUGGCUUGGGACCGGAAGGCGCGACGGGUACGUCCGGGGUAGGAGUGAAAUCCCGUAAUCCUGGACGGACCGCCGAUGGCGAAAGCACGUCGCGAAGAUGGAUCCGACAGUGAGGGACGAAAGCUAGGGUCUCGAACCGGAUUAGAAACCCCAGUAGUCC